GAUUCCCUUGCAGCAAACAAAUACAUACUUUCAAUUGAACCUACAAAUGAAUAUAAAAAUGAUAGGAAUCUG
rnacentral:other from 1 species